rnacentral:rRNA from 1 species
UACAGAGGUCUCAAGCGUUGUUCGGAUUCAUUGGGCGUAAAGAGCGUGUAGGCGGCCCGAUUAGUCCGCUGUGAAAGUCCAGGGCUCAACCCUGGAAUGCCGGUGGAUACUGUCGGGCUAGAGUCCGGAAGGGGCGAGUGGAAUUCCUGGUGUAGCGGUGAAAUGCGCAGAUAUCAGGAGGAACACCAAUGGCGAAGGCAGCUCGCUGGGACGUGACUGACGCUGAGGCGCGAAAGCGUGGGGAGCAAACAGG